rnacentral:rRNA from 1 species
UACAUGGGGUGCAAACGUUGCUCGGAAUUAUUGGGCGUAAAGCGCACGUAGGCGGUUCGUUAAGUCGGAUGUGAAAGCCCUCGGCUCAACUGAGGAAGUGCACCCGAAACUGGCGAGCUUGAGUACGAAAGAGGAUCGCGGAAUUCCCGGUGUAGAGGUGAAAUUCGUAGAUAUCGGGAGGAACACCGGUGGCGAAGGCGGCGAUCUGGGUCGAUACUGACGCUGAGGUGCGAAGGCAUGGGGAGCGAACGGG